rnacentral:rRNA from 1 species
GACGAACGCUGGCGGCGUGCUUAACACAUGCAAGUUGAACGGUCCGGCAUGGAAGCUUGCUGAAGUGUCGGGUAGUAGCGGACGGGUGAGUAAUGCAUGAGAAGCUGCCAUUGGGAGGGGGACAACAGUUGGAAACGGCUGCUAAUACCCCAUAUGCCGGAAGGUGAAACGGAGUGAUCCGCCCGAUGAGGUGCUCAUGUCCUAUCAGCUAGUUGGUGAGGUAACGGCUCACCAAGGCGACGACGGGUAGCCGGCCUGAGAGGGUGACCGGCCACACUGGAACUGAGAUACGGUCCAGACUCCUACGGGAGGCAGCAGUGGGAAAUAUUGCAAAAUGGAGGAAACUCUGAUGCAGCGACGCCGCGUGAAGGAUGAAGUAUUUCGGUAUGUAAACUUCUAUCAGCAGGGAAGAAAAUGACGGUACCUGACUAAGAAGCCCCGGCUAACUACGUGCCAGCCGCCGCCGUAAAAC